CCUACGGGAGGCAGCAGUGAGGAAUAUUGGUCAAUGGCCGGAAGGCUGAACCAGCCAUGCCGCGUGAAGGUCAGUGCCCUAUGGGCGUUAAACUUCUUUUGUGCGGGAGCAAUAAUGGUCACGUGUGGCCAGACGAGAGUACCGUACGAAUAAGCAUCGGCUAACUCCGUGCCAGCAGCCGCGGUAAUACGGGGGAUGCAAGCGUUAUCCGGAUUUAUUGGGGUAAAAGGGUGCGUAGGGUGUGAGGUAAGUCAGCGGUGAAAUGCCCCCGCUCAACGGGGUGAAGUGCCAUUGAUACUGCCUUGCUGGAAUGCGGAUGCCGUGGGAGGAAUGUGUGGUGUAGCGGUGAAAUGCAUAGAUAUCACACAGAACACCGAUUGCGAAGGCAUCUCACGAAUCCGCGAUUGACGCUGAUGCACGAAAGCGUGGGUAUCAAACAGGAUUAGAUACCCUUGUAGUC
rnacentral:rRNA from 1 species